rnacentral:rRNA from 1 species
UACGUAGGGUGCAAGCGUUGUCCGGAAUUAUUGGGCGUAAAGAGCUUGUAGGCGGUUUGUCGCGUCUGCUGUGAAAUUUCGGGGCUCAACCCCGAACUUGCAGUGGGUACGGGCAAACUGGAGUGUUGCAGGGGAGACUGGAAUUCCUGGUGUAGCGGUGAAAUGCGCAGAUAUCAGGAGGAACACCGGUGGCGAAGGCGGGUCUGUGGGCAACAACUGACGCUGAGGAGCGAAAGCGUGGGGAGCGAACAGG